ensembl:lncRNA
CCUGUCCUUGUGUCAGGAACCAAAAAUGCUCUUUUGUCCUUCUGGCUCACAAGAAAUCAAGUGAAAUGUUUGUUUUCAGCACUCCUUCCCAAACUAAGGGAUUGUUCCCCUAAGGUUGGCAUUUAACAUGGUAACUGCUUAGCUGUUUUUACUGUCAGGAUUGCUUCCACUUCACCUUAAUUCCAGACUGUCCAAAGCAUCACCUGGAAUCUCUGGCUUGUGGUGGAAACAUGGGAAAAAGAAGAAGAAGGAGGAGAAAAGAAGCAAAACUGGAUUUAUUUCCUAAAACAAGUGCUCUCAUUGGGAGUCUUGAAAAUAUUUCCUGGCUGGCUGCAAUGUGCACCUUGCUUAGAUUAUCCCUGGAGGAUUCCUAUUGCAGUCCUAAAAAUGAGGCAAGGCAAGGCAAGGGGGAGAUUCUUCAGCUGAAGAAUUCCUUUUCAUGAAGAUAAAUGAUUUCCAAAGGUAAAAAAUAGCAAAGGAUGUUACUUGAAAGAGGCAGGAACUUGUUUGUGGAGCUUCCAGAAGAGUUUGCACGCUGUAACAUUUCCCUGUGCUGGUGAAAAAUCAGCUUUUUAAAUACUUGCAACAGAAUUUUUAUAGUUCCUAAAUGAUAGAACAGGAAUGCUGGCAGCCUGUCCUGACUUAAUUCAGUAUCAUUUUAAAGGAGGCUUUAUAAAUCCCUGCCUGAAGGAUUCUAAAGUACCUUAGCAGCUACUUACAGGUAAUUAUUGGAGUUUAUUUGAAUAAGCAGAUUAUUGUAGCAUGCAUGUGUUCAGCAUUAAGGUGAGAGCAGCCCAGCAGGAAUUUUUGAUUUUCAUAUUCCUUUGCCUUAGGGACAGCUCAGUCUUUUACUGCAACUGCAGCUUUUCUUUCUGACCAGAUGUUUGUGAUACAGCAAGAAAUGGAAUGAAAAAUCUCUUGCAGGACACUUAAAAUAAUUCAAAUGUAUCUGCACAGCCUCAUCCCAAGGCAGGAAAAUGAGAUUUAACCCCUGCCAUCAAACUUGAGGCUAAAUUAGAGUUUAUACUUUGCUAAGGAGAUGUAUUUUUUACCUUUGGAAUAUGAAAUAAGUGAAAUUUCAGUAACCUGAAGCACAUUUUAGGUGGUUUUGGUCUUCAUUGCUGGAUGCCUGUCCUGUGAGUGUUGCACAGUGCAGAGGUGGAAUUCCAGGUGCUGCAAGCUGGGAUAGAAAUAUUGAUAAGGUUUCAUUCCUUGCUUUCCUCCUAGAUUUAGAAAGCUGUCUGAAUUAAAGACUUUAGUAUUUUAUUUUUAUUUUUUUUUUUUUGCACACCACGAGACUUUAUAUAAAAACUACUUGUAUCCUGUUAGAGGCCAGUAAAAGCCAGCAAUUAGUUUGUGUUUUUAGGCUUUCCUGGGGUAUUCCCUGGAUCACAAGUGUGGAGCAUCCUGAUAAAGCUCGUGAGUUUUAUCUAUGCAUGGCUAAAUUUUAGUCUUAAUAUCCUGUAGUGCCUGUAGAGCAAAGGUAGCUAGCAGUGGGGUUGGGGGGGCUGCCAGGGGUUUACAACUAAAUCCAGUUGGUUGCAUGAGAUGAUUUCACAGCCCAGAAUUUUUUUAGGAAUCCCAAAAUUCUGGUGGUGGUGGGGCUGCAAUAAAAAGGAGCAUUAGGAAAUGGGAGCUCCA